UUUGCGGUGCUCAAAAUUUUGCAGCAAUCGCAUUCGCCUCUCCGAGCCAGAUCCCAUGGCGCAUUUUAUCUGUGAUGAUGCCUUACACAGCUUCUAGUGCAAAAGUUUUCUAUAGUGUUCAACAAGUUAAAUAAUCAUCUUUCAUUCACUUCCCCCGAUAAGAAAUCCGAUAAAAAGACUAGCUCAGUUUUGGUUGCUUAUGGACCAGCACUAAGUUUAACAGCUGAAACAUGGCUUACCUACCCGGCUCAACAUUCUUGGAGAACAAAUAAAUCGAGGGUCCGGAGGAGAAUAGAAUUGAUUUGUAUUAAAGAACAAUUCGUCUUCUAAAAAAAAUGUUUGCACUACUGCUUGUAUGCAUAUGCAUGCACAUACAUCUGUUUGUGUUUCCAUAUUUCAUUUGCACUGGUGCAUUCUCAAAAUUCCUUCUAACAAUUUGUACCGAGAAACAACUUCAUGAUAAGAUAUUAAUUAUUUAGUAGUGAAUGUGAACGGACUCUGUUCAGGAAAUUUUUGUUAAUUAUUGUAGACCGUUAACUUAUAAAAAAAUAAAAAAUAAAAAACCUUGCAAGAUCAUCUACUUAACGGGGUUAAUCCCAAUGAUCUAAGUCAAACAUUCCAAAAUAGUAGCCUAAAUUCCUUCUAACAAUUUGCACCGUGAAACAACUUUGUGAUCAGAUAUUAAUUAAGUCCUUGUUCAGCUCUCAUUUUGUGAAAAUAAAAA